rnacentral:lncRNA from 1 species
GGGGGGAGGAUGACCUCUGGAGCAGCCCCCUGCUCUAUAUGUCACAAUGCCUUCCCUCUCCCCUGGCAGUGUAUGCCCCCAGAAUGGCAGGCCCGAUAGGGAGGAGGUGAGGAGUGGGGAGGUUGGGGAGGGAGAAGAGGAAAACAGGACUUCACAGUAAUGACUGUGUUCCAACAGAGCUGGCCAGAAUUUUGCUUGUUCCCUGUGUUUGGCAAGGAGCUAAUCUGGGGUCUCUCAAGCUGCCUGCCAUUCAGGGAACAGACCUAGGAUACUAAGAAGUUACUGCUGAAUAGACCACUGCCUGCAGGGGAUGUGUUACCUGAGAUGCAAUAAGAGCUAGAAAGCUGGAGAAAGAGGCCACAUGAUCUGGAAAAUGUACCUGGCUGGAUCCUGAUGGAAAAAUCCAGAAGUCACAGUGAGUUCUUUCUCCAACCCAGAUUGGUAUAAGGAGGCAAAACACAGAGGUCUACGGAUGCUAAGGACUGGGUCAUGGCAGGAAUACACUCCACUCCAGCUUCCAGGGAGAGGCUGUGCACCAGGGAUCCCUGUCAAUACAGAUCGAAUGGGUCCAGCUGGGGGCCGGAGCCUGGAAGCUGGGGAGGGUCCUGAGCUUUUGGAGGGCCAUGGAGCACCUUUGAGGAGUUCACUCACAUUCUUGGAUGGGGCCCUGGGCCUUGGUAUACUCGGACUUGGUGCUCGUCUGGUCCUGGCCCUGGCUGGUCCAGCCAUGAUGCUUUUGCUGCUGUUUCUGAUGUUGAGUUUCCUGACCUUUGAUCUUUUGCAUGGACCCCAGGACUUGCCUCUGCCUCAAAGACCAACUUUUAGACCCCUUGGCCCAGGAGGGGGUGGUGAAGGCCCCCGCUUGCAAGAACCGCUGCUCCCUCCUGUCCUGAGCCAAAUCUUGGAUGGAUUCCUGCUCUUCACAGGCCUAGGCCUCAUCUUUGGGGCGCUGAUGCCCUUCAGUAUCUUUAGCCUUAUAGUCAGCCUACAGGCGCUGGCCUGAAACAAAGCCCUCUGUUCUGUGGAAACCAGAAGGCUUUAAGAGCCUCCUCACCGAAAUACACGAGGAUUGACUAAAUUCUGCCUCUGAAUUUCCUUUCCUGUUCCCCUCCGGGCCGUUCUGGGGUGAAAGGCCCCAAAUUAGUUCCAGGUCCCAGAGAUUGAGAACUAAAGGCUCUGGAGUCACAGUGGACUUUAGUCUACUCAGUAACCUAAACCUUGGACCUAAAGGUCUAACCCCAAUGAUGCUGCAAGGAACCCUCUACCAUACAACUAGAGCCUUAGAAUUUAUAAUAAAAAAAAG